UUUUUGGUUAUAUGAUCUGUCAAACAUUUCGUUGUUUGGGAUUGAACUGAUGGUUACUAGUCCUCGACGGUUACUUGCUCUGCCAAAUAAACUGUUAUUUUUGAAGCACAAAAUCGUAUUGCAGUUAUCUUUAAAAAGCUCCCUGGAAUGUGUUUGGUGAAAUGUGGUACCUACAUCUUUUCGGCUAUAAAUCGUUCUGCAAAUAAAGGAAUACGUUUCGACGUUUGUCCUGGAUUACAUUAAAACUGAAAACAAUGUAUGAUCUUGUCAUUCCUGCCGUUUGAAUCUAGGAUGGAAUGAAAAAAAAAUCGGGCAUUCAGGAAAAAAUGUUCAAGUGGAACCAAUAUAAUAUAGAGUUUCAUAACCAGUCGGAAAUUGAUAAAAAAUCAUACCUACUUGCGCAAAUCCAGUGACUGCUGACUAUGCGUCUUCCUGAUGGUCAGUAGGUGACACUUUGGAGAAACAGCGCUUUCUCUUCAGAGCCCAGUUGGAACUAACAUGGUUAACCCCCUCAAAAAGGCACCGUACACUGCUUUUUUGUACCAUCAUUGUUGGGUGCGAUAGUAGUGGCGAUAAUAUGCUAUGUGAUCACGUAACUGACUAUUCUUUUACAAUGUCAGAAAACUGCAUCUUUUGACAAUCCUAAGAAAAAAAGUACAAAGACUUUAGCUGGUGCAACAAGCAUGUUACCACGAUUGACAAACAGACCACCGCGAUUCUCAACCACAUGGCCUUUUCAAUUCUGUACAUUACUUUCUGAGAGAAACAUCUCCUUUGGUCAAUGUUGAGAUACCAAUCUGAAAAAUUCGUCGCGAAGCCAAUAUGCUGGUGUCAAUUACGCCAAAAUUCACCUGUGUCAUUAAUCGAUGUAGCUAGAGGCACUAGAGAUGUGCAAAGGAGGACAACGGCCAGCGUAAUUCUAACCGCCGUGGAAAAUUCUACUUUUUGUUUUUUAGCAAAAUGUUUUUUGGUUUUAUCAAAUUUGUUUGCUAAUUCUUU